AUUGAACGCUGGCGGCAGGCCUAACACAUGCAAGUCGAGCGGAUGAAGGGAGCUUGCUCCUGGAUUCAGCGGCGGACGGGUGAGUAAUGCCUAGGAAUCUGCCUGGUAGUGGGGGAUAACGUCCGGAAACGGGCGCUAAUACCGCAUACGUCCUGAGGGAGAAAGUGGGGGAUCUUCGGACCUCACGCUAUCAGAUGAGCCUAGGUCGGAUUAGCUAGUUGGUGGGGUAAAGGCCUACCAAGGCGACGAUCCGUAACUGGUCUGAGAGGAUGAUCAGUCAAAGUGGAAGUGAAACACGUCCCGGCCCCUGAGGGGGGGCAGCAGGGGGAAAUUUUGGACAAUGGGCGAAGGCCUGACCCAGCCUUGCCGCGUGGGUGAAGAAGGUCUUCGAAUUGUAAACCACUUUAAUUUGGGGGAAAGGGCAGUAAUUUAAUACUUUCCUGUUUGGACUUUCCCAAAAAAAAAACCCCCGGCAAAUUUCGUC
rnacentral:rRNA from 1 species